GCUUUUACAGGCUGACCAGCUGACUGAGGAGCAGAUUGCAGAGUUCAAGGAGGCCUUCUCCCUCUUUGACAAGGAUGGAGAUGGCACUAUCACCACCAAGGAGUUGGGGACAGUGAUGAGAUCCCUGGGACAGAACCCCACUGAAGCAGAGCUGCAGGAUAUGAUCAAUGAGGUGGAUGCAGAUGGGAACGGGACCAUUGACUUCCCGGAGUUCCUGACCAUGAUGGCCAGAAAGAUGAAGGACACAGACAGUGAGGAGGAGAUCCGAGAGGCGUUCCGUGUCUUUGACAAGGAUGGGAAUGGCUACAUCAGCGCCGCAGAGCUGCGUCACGUAAUGACGAACCUGGGGGAGAAGCUGACCGAUGAGGAGGUGGAUGAGAUGAUCAGGGAGGCUGACAUCGAUGGAGAUGGCCAGGUCAAUUAUGAAGAGUUUGUACAGAUGAUGACUGCAAAGUGAAGGCCCCCCGGGCAGCUGGCGAUGCCCGUUCUCUUGAUCUCUCUCUUCUCGCGCGCGCACUCUCUCUUCAACACUCCCCUGCGUACCCCGGUUCUAGCAAACACCAAUUGAUUGACUGAGAAUCUGAUAAAGCAACAAAAGAUUUGUCC
rnacentral:lncRNA from 1 species